GCAGUCGUGGUCGAGUGGUUAAGGCGAUGAACUAGAAAUCCAUUGGGGUCCAACCCCACAGGUUCGAAUCCUGCCAACUGCG
rfam:Ixodes scapularis strain Wikel colony gcontig_1108379272222, whole genome shotgun sequence.